rnacentral:rRNA from 1 species
CCCUUGUAGUACUGGGACUCUAACCAUAGGCCAUGAAUCUGGUCUUGGGACACUGUCAGGUGGGCAGUUUGACUGGGGCGGUCGCCUCCCAAAAGGGAACGGAGGCGCUCAAAGGUUCUCUCAGUACGGUCGGAAAUCGUACGUAGAGUGUAAAGGCAAAAGAGAGCUUGAUUGCAAGACAUACAGGUCGAGCAAGGAUGAAAAUCGGACUUAGUGAUCCGGUGGUUCUGCGUGGAAGGGCCAUCGCUCAACGGAUAAAAGCUACCCUGGGGAUAACAGG